rnacentral:rRNA from 1 species
GGUGUAGGACGAACGGGUAGGGUUUCGCAUGAACAGUCGUGGUGCCGGCGUCCUCAUACACAAACAAUUACGCUCUGGUAGCGAAUCCCUGUAGAGCACACGGUGUCUUGAAGUCUCAUACUCCAUGCUGCAAAUGGUGUCUACUUGUAGCGUGUCAGGUUCCGGAGUGACUUCCUGAGAUAACGUUUUAAGUUGACGGUGGGGGGAGGACUUCAGCAAGUGUUUGUUUUCAGGAUAUUGACGGUGGCCAGCAGUACCUGUCCAGCAUGUGGUUUAAUGCGAUAAAAAGGGUAUGGGAUUAGAUACCCCACUAUGCCUGAACAUUAACAUGACAUCAUGGAUAUAACAAAAAUGUCCGCCAGAGAAUUACGGGUGAGAACCUAAAACUCAAAAGACUUGACGGUGUUCCAACCCUGCCUAGAGGAGCCUGUUCCAUAAUCGAUAACCCCCGAUCAACCCGACCACCUAUUGAAAUACUCAGCCUAUAUACCGCCGUCACCACGCCUACCCUUUGAAAGACACACAGUAGGCACAAUAGUUUCUAAACUAGCAAGUCAGGUCAAGGUGUAGCUUAUUAGGUGGAGGAAAUGGGCUACAUUUUCUACGAUAGAUCAUCUACGGACUUCGCUCUGAAACCAAAACGAACAAAGGAGGAUUUAGCAGUAAGCCAAACAAGAGAGUUUGACUAAAUACUUAGCCCUGGAACAUGUACACACCGCCCGUCACCCUCACA